rnacentral:tRNA from 1 species
AAGAUACUAGUAAAAUUAAUUACAUUGCUUUGUCAAGGCAAAAUCGUGGGUGAAACCCCUGCGUAUCUUA